UCACUAGUGUGGCUGAAGGAGCUGCCUUCCCUCCUACUCAUCAGUGCUCCUCUGAUGGACAUUACCAUCCAUGCACAUCUGAGAUACCUUAACUGGUGACACAGCUGCAGCGGGGCCUCACUUCCGUCAUGUUUUGGGCAGCAAGCAUGCACACCUAAUCAGCACAGGCAACGUGGGCCCACUAGACAGAGCUAAGAAAAAUGUGGGAGCGCCUUUACACAGUCCAGAUGUUGGGCUGGAAGAAUAAGCUCCUGAAGCUCUUAUGUUAAGCCCAGGCGAGAUUAGAGAGACUGCAAAGGAAAAUCUGAGAUAAAUUACCAAAUGAGCCAUCCAUGGCGAAGAGAGUUCUGGGAUAGUGCAGGAAGAACAAAGUCAAUGAAGUCUUUCUGUGGAAUUUUGCAAUAAAGUUGAGAAGAAUAAUUGUGGCUCUGGCUGGGAACUGAGUGACAGCAAACACAGCAAGGAUCUUUACAAUGCUUUCACGGAAUUGCAGAAUCAAGAAUGGCUGAAGUUGAGGAGCACUUCUAAAGAACCUCUGGUCCAGCCUUCAACUAGAGUAGGCUGCCCAUGAUUGCGUCCAGACAGCUUUUGAAUGUUUCCAAGGAUGGAGACUCCACAACCUCUCUGGGCAGCCUGUUCC
rnacentral:lncRNA from 1 species